AUUGAACGCUGGCGGCAGGCCUAACACAUGCAAGUCGAACGAGUGGCGGACGGGUGAGUAAUGUCUGGGAAACUGCCCGAUGGAGGGGGAUAACUACUGGAAACGGUAGCUACUACCGCAUACCAUCGGAUGUGCCCAGCUGGGAUUAGCUAGUAGGUGGGGUAACGGCUCACCUAGGCGACGAUCCCUAGCUGGUCUGAGAGGAUGACCAGCCACACGGGAACUGAGACACGGGCCAGAGUCCUACGGGAGACAGCAGUGGGGAAUAGUGGAAAAGGGGGGCAAGCUGGAUGAAGCCAUGCGGGGUGUAGGAAGAGGGCCUUCGGGUUGUAAGGUACUUUCAGCGGGGAGGCGUUACCCGCAGAAGAAGCACCGGCUAACUCCGUGCCAGCAGCCGCGGUAAUAC
rnacentral:rRNA from 1 species